GUUGUGCCUUGAGGCGUGGCUUCCGGAGCUAACGCGUUAAGUCGACCGCCUGGGGAGUACGGCCGCAAGGUUAAAACUCAAAUGAAUUGACGGGGGCCCGCACAAGCGGUGGAGCAUGUGGUUUAAUUCGAUGCAACGCGAAGAACCUUACCUACUCUUGACAUCCAGAGAACUUUCCAGAGAUGGAUUGGUGCCUUCGGGAACUCUGAGACAGGUGCUGCAUGGCUGUCGUCAGCUCGUGUUGUGAAAUGUUGGGUUAAGUCCCGCAACGAGCGCAACCCUUAUCCUUUGUUGCCAGCGGUCCGGCCGGGAACUCAAAGGAGACUGCCAGUGAUAAACUGGAGGAAGGUGGGGAUGACGUCAAGUCAUCAUGGCCCUUACGAGUAGGGCUACACACGUGCUACAAUGGCGCAUACAAAGAGAAGCGAACUCGCGAGAGCAAGCGGACCUCAUAAAGUGCGUCGUAGUCCGGAUUGGAGUCUGCAACUCGACUCCAUGAAGUCGGAAUCGCUAGUAAUCGUAGAUCAGAAUGCUACGGUGAAUACGUUCCCGGGCCUUGCACUCACCCGCCCGUCAAAA
rnacentral:rRNA from 1 species